GUGUGACGGUAUUAUCAUCGUUCGUAAUUACUGACACGUAGAACGUAUAUGUACGAUAGGAUAAGUUCGUUUCAGAAGUUACCUGAUAACGACCUAAACCAAUAAUUCGACAAAAAGCUAUAUAAUACUUCCACGUUAUAUUUCAUUUUAAAACUAUAAAAAGAAGUUAAUACAAGCAGUACGAAAUGAUAGCAUGUAUCGCUUUGAAGUCAUUUAUCGCCGAGUUAUGCAUAAAAUACACAUUGAUAUAACUGUGUUGCAUUAGUAAAACAUUAAUGCAUUAUCGUUGUUGGUUACCAAAUGUAAUAUCCAUUAAAAUAAUAUGUACCAUUAAAUUUUAUAAAAACAUCGUUCAUUGGCCUUGUAAGUAGUAUCAUUUAUUACUUUUAAGAUAUUUUUAAGUUAUGAGUCAUUUUUAAACAAACUGAAAAAGGAAAAAUCGUAAUUUUAUCUAUAGUUAAUAGAAUACUGUAGUGACACUAUAUCUUUGGAAUGGUCUUUUUUCAAAAUUGUGAUAUGAUAAUUUAAAUGUACAUGAUGAGUUCCCUCUACUUUAUGAUAUUCAAAUCUUUUAGCACCUAUUUUUAUUUGAUCUAAAACUUUAUCAUAAGAUUCAGGAUAAUCAAGUUUCAAUCCAGGUAUAGCACGAAUAUUAAGGUCGCAAACCACGUUUCAUUAAUAUUAUGGCACUUUCUCUAGUUAUGGAACCUUUAUAAGCAUCUUCAACAAUGCUAAGCACUUCAUCAUAACUAUAGGAUGGAAUACUAUCAGAUUGUAGCAAUUCAUAUUUUAAAAAUUUGUCAAUACUAUCACUAAGUAUAGCAACAUUUUUUGCCACAUCUUUUACACUAGGACUUGCAAUAUCUAAACUUAUCAUGAAUUCCACUUCAUCAGGAUAAAAUGCAGCAUAUAAAAAUGAUAUUGCCCCUCCUAAGGAAUGUCCAAAUUCUAUGAUUCAUUGAUAUGAUAGUUAUUUAAACUACUAAACUAAAUUGAGUGGUAAUAUUUAAUCCACUCGCUAACCUUCUUCCAUUUGAAAUAUUUUACAAUUCUACGAAGUAGAAUAAUACCAUCCCAAUAAACAUAAUAGUAUUGACUCUUUGGAUAAUGGGAAGAUAAACCAUGACCAGGCAUAUCCAAACAAAGUACUGAAAUCUCAUCACAUAAUAAAGGAAUCAAAGUGUCAAAACUGCCAGCAUUAUCUUGACGUCCAUGCAGAGCCACUAUUGGUUGGAUCCCUUUAGGACCCCACCAUUUGCCUGCAGG